GAGACGCCGCGGGCAGAGCUGGACAGCUUGCGUCACACAGACUGGGCCCGACUGUGGGUUCAGCUCAUGCGGGAGCUCCGCCACGGAGUGAAGUUGAAGAAGGUGCAGGAGCAGGAGUUCAACCCCCUGCCCACCGAGUUCCAGCUCACGCCCUUCGAGAUGCUGAUGCAGGACAUCCGGGCCCGGAACUACAAGCUGCGCAAGGUCAUGGUGGAUGGGGACAUCCCGCCCCGGGUGAAGAAGGAUGCUCAUGAGCUCAUCCUGGACUUUAUCCGCUCACGGCCUCCACUGAAGCAGGUGCCUCCCCUGCCUCCUCCUCCUCAGGGGCCUCCCGGGGCCUGGUGCUGUCCUGUAGCCAGCCUGGGAGGUGUCCCAGCACGUCUUCUUGUGGCCAGCCUGGGAGGUGUCCCAGCACGUCUUCCUGUGGCCAGCCUGGGAGGUGUCCCAGUGCAUCUGCGUCACGGGUGAGGCGGACAGGCUUCCUCCUGCCUGUGUGCCAGCCCAGGGCUGUGUGGCCCUGGGCCCUUUUUCUGGGAAAGGGCCAUGUGAGCCAUGCCCACCCCACCCCAGGUGCAUGCGGAGCCCAGAGCCCCCUGAGAGCAGCACUCCCUCUGGGUGGUCCUGGCCGGCUCUUUCUACUCCAGAGUGGGCCCGUGUCAUGGCCACUUCCCCACCGCAGGUCCCCCUUCCGCAC
rnacentral:sRNA from 1 species